AAUCAUUAGUCACACAAGGUCAUUAUUCACACUGGUUUUAUCUAUACCCCCAUCCCCUUUCUCUACCUCUUGUAUUGGAAUUUGAAGUAAGUUCCAAAAUCCUGGUUGUUUCUUAAGAUAUUUUAUGGAACCAAGUCCUGCUGGUUUGAUAGCCAUGUUAUUCUUUCUCUGGUGACUGUAGAUGUCUCUGCUCUGAUCGUAAAAUGGCUCCCAAAGAGCCAUUUUUGAGUUCUUGGAGGAAGCCUAUGUUCUGACAACAAUUAGCAUUAUCAUCAGGCAGAGUACAUUCCACUUACUUUUAUCUUUCCUUAAUUACACAGGAGCAUCAUUCUCAGAUCUCUGACAAGACUGCACUGUGACGCAGAAAUGCCAGGCUUCCUAUGUUCUGCCCAGGGACUCAACCCACGUGCCGGAUCUCUGCCACUGGGGUCCGAGAGUCUGCGCGGUUAGCGAAUUCUCAGAGCUCCAGGUCUGAAACAGUACCAGAUCCUUACCACAAGAGGGAGCUGGACCAUGAAGAAUUAAUGGGUUGCUUUGGAACUAGAAAUAAAAACAGGGCGAGUGCAUGUGAUUUGAGAUGAAGCAGAUACUGUGGAUGGUCAGCCCAACUGUCACUUCUUCUUUCUUUCUUGCUGGGAAAACCCUAGCUUUGUUUGGGCCACCCACUCUUCUCCACAAAGCCCUAUGCUUCCCUCGGAUAAUCACGAC